GGAAGACGGGCUGGAGGCCAGGACGGUCUCAGGCUUGGAUUCGGAGACGCCACCCCGCGUGUGACCCUUCGACACCGAUUCCGGGGCGGUGGCGAAGAUCACUGAGGCCGACGUGACUCACGCCCCCAGUCCCUCCUGCUGGAACACCUCUGUGAUCUUCCACCAGAAGAAAGUUACUAAUGAGAAGUCAUUCGGAUUAGUGGCUCCGACUUCCCAUUGGUGCGGAAUCCUGCAUUAAUCUAAGCUUCCCGGGAGGACAGAGACAGGAGACCUUCACGUGGGCAGCGCCCUAUCGCUCAGAGGAGGAUCUGAGGCUCAGGGAAGGUGCCCAAGGACCCAUGCUCACAGAAACAGGACUCUCCUCAGGCCUGGAGCCCACGUCUGGCUGGCCCCCGGCACUCCCCGCCCAGGAGUGCUGGGCAGUCAUCCCAUCGUGACAGUGUGAUGUUUAUUUGAGUGUGUGAUCUGCCAGAAGCAGGUGCGGAGUCAGUGGAAACACCCUGGGAGGCAAACAUGGCAACACUCCCUCUGUGUGCCUGAUGGGCUGUGCUCAGGGGUGGUGGGGUCCCAGGCCGCAAGCACCCCAUUCUAGGAGGCGGGCACUUAGAAUCCUUGGAGACCCACCACCUUCCCUACAGGCUAUCAGGUCCCCAAGGCCUCGUUUUACAAGCGGGCGCAUAAGGCAGGGAGCCAAAGUGGCUCGCGAGGCAGCGGCACCGCCAAGGCCAGAGGCCUAUUUCUCUCCUCGACCCACUUCCCUCCAUUGUCCGGGCCCAGACUUGGGGCCUGGCCACGGGCAGAGCCAGACACACACAUUCAUCUUGUGCUAAGUGCAAGUGCCUGGGAAGGAAAAGAGGAUUAGCGAGGCCAAGCCACUCUGUUCUCUGGACAAAUGAAAUUGAGAUGAAUCUGCUCGAAGGCGCCCAGAAUCUAAUAAAUCAGUUGCAGCAUGCCAGAUCCAGUUCCCUGACCAGGGCUUGAACCCAGAUGCCCCGCACCGGGAGUGCGGAGUCCUGACCCCGGGAACCGUCCUACAGGCCUCCCUGGCAGAGGUGUUGGUCCCCGGCUCCAGCAUCAGCCACCGCGGCUCAAGCGAGUCGUGUGGCCCCCGAGGUGAACUCAUUUGGGAAGUGCUCCUGGGAAAUAAAACCAAGGUAAGACACACUUGGCGCUAGGAGUGAAGAACCCUCCUGCCAAUGCCAGAAGACGUUAAGAGAUGCGGGCUCGAUCCCUGCGUCGGGAAGACCCCCUGGAGGAGGAAAUGGCACCCCACUCCAGUGUUCUUGCCUGGAGAAUCCCAUGGACAGAGGAGCCUGGUGGGCUACAGUCCAUGGGGUCACCAAGAGACGUGACGGAAACGACUUAGCAUGCACGCACAAGACACACCUCUAGGGGGUGUUGGCGGGACACUCAUCAGAGCUGGCUGGGGGUGAGAGACUUAGUUCAGAGCUACAGCGACGUGGACCGGCCUGAUGGAACUGGCCCCCCUGAGUCCCAGCCCCCCACCGGCCAGCCGGGCAUCUGACGAGCCCCAGGGAAAGACCCGGAUUUUGCCUUCAGGAGCUUAUCGUCUGCUGUGAGAAGAGAAAGCCAUUGCUGAGACUGGUUCCCCGGGGCACGGAGGGCAUCUGGGACUUCACAACGCCCAGCCUGGGGGCAGCGCAGACAGCGGGGGGUACCCGCUCUCGAUACCUUCCCCAAGACGGUGUGUCCAGCCGGGAGAGGGUGCCACCGCACGCAGGCCGGUUAAAACACCAAGUUUCUCUCCAUGGCUGAUUCAUGUUGAUGUAUGACAAAACCCACUGCAAUGUUGCGAAGU